GAUGAACGCUGGCGGCGUGCCUAAUACAUGCAAGUCGAGCGAACAGAUAAGGAGCUUGCUCCUUUGACGUUAGCGGCGGACGGGUGAGUAACACGUGGGUAACCUACCUAUAAGACUGGGAUAACUUCGGGAAACCGGAGCUAAUACCGGAUAAUAUUUCGAACCGCAUGGUUCGAUAGUGAAAGAUGGUUUUACUAUCACUUAUAGAUGGACCCGCGCCGUAUUAGCUAGUUGGUAAGGUAACGGCUUACCAAGGCGACGAUACGUAGCCGACCUGAGAGGGUGAUCGGCCACACUGGAACUGAGACACGGUCCAGACUCCUACGGGAGGCAGCAGUAGGGAAUCUUCCGCAAUGGGCGAAAGCCUGACGGAGCAACGCCGCGUGAGUGAUGAAGGUCUUCGGAUCGUAAAACUCUGUUAUUAGGGAAGAACAUACGUGUAAGUAACUGUGCACGUCUUGACGGUACCUAAUCAGAAAGCCACGGCUAACUACGUG
rnacentral:rRNA from 1 species